CGGUCUGGUGGCGAGUGGCGAACGGGUGAGUAAUGUAUCGGAACGUGCCCAGUAGCGGGGGAUAACUACGCGAAAGCGUAGCUAAUACCGCAUACGCCCUAAGGGGGAAAGCAGGGGAUCGCAAGACCUUGCACUAUUGGAGCGGCCGAUAUCGGAUUAGCUAGUUGGUGAGGUAAUGGCUCACCAAGGCGACGAUCCGUAGCUGGUUUGAGAGGACGACCAGCCACACUGGGACUGAGACACGGCCCAGACUCCUACGGGAGGCAGCAGUGGGGAAUUUUGGACAAUGGGGGAAACCCUGAUCCAGCCAUCCCGCGUGUGCGAUGAAGGCCUUCGGGUUGUAAAGCACUUUUGGCAGGAAAGAAACGGCGCGUGCUAAUACCAUGCGCAACUGACGGUACCUGCAGAAUAAGCACCGGCUAACUACGUGCCAGCAGCCGCGGUAAUACGUAGGGUGCAAGCGUUAAUCGGAAUUACUGGGCGUAAAGCGUGCGCAGGCGGUUCGGAAAGAAAGAUGUGAAAUCCCAGGGCUCAACCUUGGAACUGCAUUUUUAACUACCGGACUAGAGUG
rnacentral:rRNA from 1 species